CUUUGUGUUUCUUCUGUCCUACCC
rnacentral:piRNA from 1 species